CCCCGUUCGGGGGACGAGGGAGACAGGUGGUGCAUGGGUUGUCGUCAGCUCGUGUCGUGAGAUGUUGGGUUAAGUCCCGCAACGAGCGCAACCCCUACGUUUAGUUGCUAACAGGUGAAGCUGAGCACUCUAGACGAACUGCCGUUGACAAAACGGAGGAAGGUGGGAUGACGUCAAAUCAUCAUGCCCCUUAUGUUCUGGGCUACACACGUGCUACAAUGGCCGGUACAGACGGAGGCGAAGCCGCGAAGCGGAGCAAAUCCGAAAAAGCCGGUCUCAGUUCGGAUUGCAGGCUGCAAUUCGCCUGCAUGAAGUCGGAAUCGCUAGUAAUCGCAGGUCAGCAUACUGCGGUGAAUACGUUCCCGGGCCUU
rnacentral:rRNA from 1 species